CUCUCAUCAAGCCAAGUUCCCGGAGGAGAUCAGCUCGUCAUGCUAGAGCACUUUUUCAAUGGGCUCCCCAACGACAAGGCAACGACUCAUUUGUAUGUCAUCCAUAUCAACUUUCGAUGCCACUUUCUGCGCCUACCAUGGUGACCACGGGUAACGGGGAAUCAGGGUUUGAUACUGGAGAGAGAGCCUGAGAAAUGGCUACCACAUGCAAGGAAGGCAGCAGGCAGGUAAAUGACCCACUCCUGACGCAGGAAGGUAGUGAUG